rnacentral:rRNA from 1 species
AGAGUUUGAUCCUGGCUCAGAACGAACGCUGGCGGCGUGCCUAACACAUGCAAGUCGAACGGAGUCAUCCGUGUAGCAAUACAUGGAUGACUUGGUGGCGCACGGGUGAGUAACACGUGGGUAACCUACCCUCAGGAGGGGGACAACUCCGGGAAACCGGAGCUAAUACCGCGUAAGACCACGGGCUGAAAUGCCUGAGGUAAAAGUGGUAACACGCCUGAGGAUGGGCCCGCGUCCUAUCAGGUAGUUGGUAGGGUAACGGCCUACCAAGCCUAAGACGGGUAGCCGGUCUGAGAGGAUGAACGGCCACACUGGAACUGAGACACGGUCCAGACUCCUACGGGAGGCAGCAGUGAGGAAUUUUGCGCAAUGGGCGAAAGCCUGACGCAGCGACGCCGCGUGGAGGACGAAGGCCUUCGGGUUGUAAACUCCUUUUCCCAGGGAAGACUUCGACGGUACCUGGGGAAUAAGCCACGGCUAACUCUGUGCCAGCAGCCGCGGUAAGACAGAGGUGGCAAGCGUCGUUCGGAAUCACUGGGCUUAAAGGGCGCGUAGGCGGUGCGGUAAGUCCGGGGUGGAAUCCUAUGGCUCAACCAUGGAAUUGCCUUGGAAACUGCUGCACUUGAGUCAGUGAGGGGAGGGCGGAAUUCCUGGUGUAGCAGUGAAAUGCGUAGAUAUCAGGAGGAAGGCCUGUGGCGAAGGCGGCCCUCUGGCGCUUGACUGACGCCGAGGCGCGAAAGCGUGGGUAGCAAACAGGAUUAGAUACCCUGGUAGUCCACGCCCUAAACGGUGGGCAUUAGGUGUAGGGCUCGCAAGGGUUCUGUGCCGUAGGGAAACCAUUAAAUGCCCCGCCUGGGGAGUACGGCCGCAAGGUUAAAACUCAAAGGAAUUGACGG